AAUGGGCGCAAGCCUGAUCCAGCCAUGCCGCGUGCGGGAAGAAGGCCUUCGGGUUGUAAACCGCUUUUGUCAGGGAAGAAAAGUUCUGAGAUAACACCUCAGGACGAUGACGGUACCUGAAGAAUAAGCACCGGCUAACUACGUGCCAGCAGCCGCGGUAAUACGUAGGGUGCAAGCGUUAAUCGGAAUUACUGGGCGUAAAGCGUGCGCAGGCGGUUGUGCAAGACAGGUGUGAAAUCCCCGGGCUUAACCUGGGAACUGCACUUGUGACUGCACAGCUUGAGUGCGGCAGAGGGGGAUGGAAUUCCGCGUGUAGCAGUGAAAUGCGUAGAUAUGCGGAGGAACACCGAUGGCGAAGGCAAUCCCCUGGGCCUGCACUGACGCUCAUGCACGAAAGCGUGGGGAGCAAA
rnacentral:rRNA from 1 species